rnacentral:rRNA from 1 species
GACGAACGCUGGCGGCGUGCUUAACACAUGCAAGUCGAACGCUGAAGCUCAGCUUUUGUUGGGUGGAUGAGUGGCGAAAGGGUGAGUAACACGCGAGUAACCUGCCCCCUUCUUUGGGAUAACGCCUGGAAACGGGUGCUCAUACUGGAUAUUCACUGGACUUCGCAAGGGGGUUGGUGGAAAGGGUUUUUCUGGUGGGGGAUGGGCUCGCGGCCUAUCCGCCUGUUGGUGGGGUGAUGGCCUACGUAGGCUUUCACGGGUAGCCGGCCUGAGAGGGUGGCCGGUCACAGUGGGACUGAGGUACGGCCCAGACUGCUACGGGAGGCAGCAGUGGGGAGGAUGGCGCAAUGGGCGCAAGCCUGAUGCAGCGGCGCCGCGUGAGGGAUGGAGGCCUUCGGGUUGUGAACCUCUUUCGCUCAUGGUCAAGCCGCAACAAUGGUUGUGGUGAGGGUAGUGGGUAAAGAAGCGCCGGCUAACUACGUG